GAAAUAUAAUUAAAGCUCGUUGAUCAGUAGUUGUAUCAUGCAGUAGUAGGUGCCAGUUUACAUCUGUAUAGGUUUCAUAUUAUUGUAGUCUUAGCAAUGGAAUAUGUAGUUAUGAUUCUAGGUUACAUACUGUAGAUUAGCUUGAUGAUUAUA